rnacentral:rRNA from 1 species
UACGUAGGGUGCGAGCGUUGUCCGGAAUUAUUGGGCGUAAAGAGCUCGUAGGCGGUCUGUCGCGUCUGCUGUGAAAACCCGAGGCUCAACCUCGGGCCUGCAGUGGGUACGGGCAGACUAGAGUGCGGUAGGGGAGAAUGGAAUUCCUGGUGUAGCGGUGGAAUGCGCAGAUAUCAGGAGGUACACCGAUGGCGAAGGCAGUUCUCUGGGCCGUAACUGACGCUGAGGAGCGAAAGCGUGGGGAGCGAACAGG